rnacentral:lncRNA from 13 species
CUUCUACAGCAAUCAUUAUAUAAAAGCUCAUUAAAAUAUUUUACAAAUAUUUCUGACUUAUAAAUAUGCUGACUACAUACUAACCUGAGAACUUUCUCUUGAAAUGAUAUGCUAAACAAUGUUGUUUUUUCUGUGAAAAUAAGUGGUUCUUUUUGUCCAGAUAAAUAGAUUUUUGGGAGAGGAAUUAUAUUUCCUUUUGGAAGCCAAGAAACACACAUGUAAUACACUGUAUGUUUUUGUCCCUCCCAAAUUUAUGUGUUGAAUCCCUAACCUCUAAAGUGAUAGCAUUAGGAGACUGGGCUUCAGGGAGGUGAUCAGGUUUUGAAGGUAGAGCUCUCAUGAAUGGGAGAGGUGCCCUCAUAAGAAAGACCUCAGAAGGAUUCCUUGCCUCUUCCAUAAUGUGAGGAUAUAAGGAAAAGACCAGCCUAUGAACCAAGAAGUAGGGCCUCACCAUACACCAAGCAGCAAAUCUGCCAGCACUUUGACCUGAGACUUCACAACUCCCAGAAAUCAACUUGAAUGCAGCUGGAGACUAUUUUCCUAGGUGAAUUCAGAGCCGUUAUCCUAAGUGAAUUGAUGUAGUAACAGAAAAUCAAAUACUGCAUGUUCUCACAAGUGGCAGUGAAACAUUGGGUACUCAUGGACAUGAAGAUGACAACAAUAGAUACUGGGACUUCUGGAAGAGGGAACGAGGCUAUCAUUGAUGGGCAUUUCGGUUGUUGCCAUUCUUAUAUAAACCUGCCCGCACUUGAAUAGAAUACGUUCAGACAGCAAAGAAUGCCUAAUUAAUGAAGGAGUUGCUGCCUUACAGUUACAGCAGACUUGUAGAAGACCAUGUGAGUAAUCAACAGCCCACCUCCUGCCAGGUGCACCAUCUUUACUCUUUACUGCUCUCUCCACAUAAAACAUGCAACAUUUAUGCUUCCAAAGCACUUGAAGAUAAUGUGGGGAUUACAAGAAAAAAACAAACAAGCCCAUACAAAAGUUGCCCGAGGAUAUGAACAGACACUUUACAAGAGAAGACAUAUAUGAGGCCAACAGACAUAUGAAAAAAUGCUCAUCAUCACUGGUCAUUAGAGAAACGCAAAUCAAAACUACAUUGAGAUACCAUCUCACUAUAGUUAGAAUGGUGUUCAUUAAAAAAUCUGGAGACAACAGAUGCUAGAAAGGAUGUGGAGAAAUAGGAACACUUUUACACUGUCGGUUGGAGUGUAAAUUAGUUCAACCAUUGUGGAAGUCAGUGUGGUGAUUCCUCAAGGACCCAGAUAUAGAAAUUCCAUUUGACCCAGCAAUCCAAUUACUGGGUAUAUAUCCAAAGGAUUAUAAAUCAUUCUAUUAUAAGGACGCAUGCACAGGAAAGUUCAUUGCAGCACUGUUUACAAUAGCAAAGACUUGGAACCAAUCCAAAUGCCCAUCAAUGAUAGACUGGACAGGAAAAAUGUGGCACAUAUACACAAUGGAAUACUAUGCAGCCAUAGAAAAUGAUGAGUUAAUGUCCUUUGUAGGGACAUGGAUGAACCUGGAAACCAUCAUCUCAGCAAACUGACACAAGAACAGAAAAUCAAACACCGCAUGUUCUCACUCAUAGGCAGGUGUUGAACAAGAAGAACACAUGGACACAGGGAGGGGAGCAUUACACACUGGGGUCCGUCGGGGGGAAAUAGGAGAGGGACAGCAGG